UCGAAUCUCACUUUCCCGGCUUUCUUUCUCUAUCAUUUACAAUAUGGCUUCUGCUUGCAACAGAUUCAUGAACAGAUCCUCCGUCUCCUCUCUCAGAUCCGCCAUCAGAUCUUCGCUCCACAAAUCUCCAAUCGGCACCGGAUCUUCGCCGAGUGCUUCGUCCGCCGGGUUUCGAAUCCCGUCUAAACCCGCCGCUUCUCCCCGAUUCUCCUUCUCCAGGUGUCCAUCUGAGCUUGGUUGUGCUCAGUCGCUUUUGCCGCUUCACAGCACGGUGGCGGCGGCUCGGCUGACGUCGUGCCUUAGCGUAACUUCAAGAAACAGCCGAGCUCUCUCUCAGGGUACUCUCUGCUGCACCUCUCCCGACCUUUGAUACUCUUUUCCUGCUUAUUUUGCUUGCACAUAAUUUUCACCGUUACCAUGUGGGAUCCUUGCAUCUUUAUCAAAUGGAAUCGAUGGCACGUGAGACUAUUUGCACUUGUUUUUAAAGAGAUGGGUCUUUCAGUCCCAAGGUGACUUGAUACAUUCAUGAAGAGCAUUACAUUACUAUCGGGAGGCAAGCUUCUUCUCUUAAAGUUAGAGACAAUAAGUUUAAUUUUUUUUUUGUCUAAACUCUUGUUUCUAAAUUCAUGAAUAAAAAUAUGUAAUACUAUUCCUCCUCAUUACACGACUCCUCUCUCAGUUUCUAGCCA